rnacentral:rRNA from 1 species
ACCGGCAGCUCAAGUGGUGGCCAUUUUUAUUGGGCCUAAAGCGUUCGUAGCCGGUUUGAUAAGUCUCUGGUGAAAUCUCACGGCUUAACCGUGAGAAUUGCUGGAGAUACUAUUAGGCUUGAGGCCGGGAGAGGCUGGAGGUACUCCCAGGGGAGGGGCGAAAGCAUAGAAGCCUGGGAUGACAAACGAAGGCGAAGGCGGCCAGCUGGAAAGGACAUGACGGUGAGUAACUAAAGCGAGGGGUGUGGUGUG